UGGGGAGUACGACCGCAAGGUUGAAACUCAAAGGAAUUGACGGGGGNCCGCACAAGCGGUGGAGUAUGUGGUUUAAUUNGACGCAACGCGAAGAACCUUANCAGGUCUUGACANUGAUGGACAGAACCAGAGAUGGUUCCUCUUCUUCGGAAGCCAGAAAACAGGUGGUGCACGGUUGUCGUCAGCUCGUGUCGUGAGAUGUUGGGUUAAGUCCCGCAACGAGCGCAACCCCUAUCUUAUGAUGCCAGCACUUUGGGUGGGGACUCAUGAGAGACUGCCGCAGACAAUGCGGAGGAAGGCGGGGAUGACGUCAAAUCAUCAUGCCCCUUAUGACCUGGGCUACACACGUACUACAAUGGGAGUUAAUAGACGGAAGCGAGAUCGCGAGAUGGAGCAAACCCGAGAAACACUCUCUCAGUUCGGAUCGUAGGCUGCAACUCGCCUACGUGAAGUCGGAAUCGCCAGUAAUCGCAGGUCAGCAUACUGCGGUGAAUACGUUCCCGGGCCUUGUACACACCGCCCGUCACACCACG
rnacentral:rRNA from 1 species